CUGUAAAAAAGACCAAUGUUGAAUUACAAUCGGGUCGUUAAUUUUAAAUUUUCCAGUUUGUAAUUUUACUACGGUACACGUAAUAAUUUAACACCCAUAUAGUAUUUUCACAAUUAAAAAGUAAAAUUAUUACGCUUAUCGUUGUAAAUGUGUCACGCGUUAGUAAAUGUACAUCCCGAAUGUUUAAUCAUUUCGUGAUACAUUGGAAACUUUUCGCUUCACGUAUAACGUUGUAUGUUAGCAACCCAACCGUAAAAAUAUUUUCGUGUGUUAAGUAACUUACAGCUGAUAGUUUUACCGACAGUAUGUAGAAUUAUGUAGCUGUCUGUAAGUAUACAUUCGAAUAUGAUAUUUUUUGCCCGAAUGUUUUUCUACACUGCGUGACGAUGAAGUGGCAUAUAAGAAACUAUGCGCAUAGGCAAACGUUAAUAUUUUAAUUUUAAUUUAUUAAAAUUUCGACAAUUUUAAGAAUUUAAAGAUUAAAGGAAAUUUGUAAAGAAUAUCUUCAUGGACUCUAUUGCUUAAGCAGCUCGUAUUUUUUUAAAAUUAAAGUGGAAAAAGUAUUUGUUUUUCCUGUUCUGUUGGAGAAUUCGUUAACUUUGUACAAAUGACAAAAAAGCUACAAAUGUGAUUUGUAUAUUAUAAAUAUUUAAUAUAUUUAUUUAUUUCUUA